AAAGCAGAUCGGAAAAUGGAUGCAUGGAUGUUAUGAACUAUAAUACCAUCCGUCACGGAAUGGAUGGGGAGCGAGAGACGUCUGGACCGAGAGUAGCGGACGUUUCUACGAGAUUAGCAGCGAGUGCCAUAUUGGAGGAUUUUCAUGUAUUUCCUCAAAUCCCAAGAGGAAAUGGAGCACCUUUGCCCCGCCCAUCUCGAAGCGAUGGAGAUCUCCGUGUCAUCGCAAAGAUACAAAGUGCAAGUGUCGCAUAGUCAAGCGGUGUGCCACACAAAUCACACUGAACGGCAGCGCACGACUGUUUGCUCAGUGAGCGCGCCGAGUGUGUGGCGACAUUCGGAAAAGUGUUACAUCACCACAUGUACUUAAUGUGAACCUGCCGUGUUCAAAUCGCAGCGUGCAGCUGUUUUCAUGGUCGCUGUGGCUUUUACACGAGGGCGUGGGGGUGGGGUCUGAAUUUAUGACGAAGAUUUUAUCUUUAUAGACAAUGAGGGGAAAGAGAAACAUGCUUCCUGUCGUUUUUUUCUCAACAAAAGUAUGCAAACGCAAUCCUUCAAUUUGAAAUGUUGAACGUAAUAAAAUAAGUGGAAACCUUGCCAGCUGGUCCACACGGAAGAAUAAAAGUCAUCGCACCCCCCCUUUUUUGCCAUGUCGAAUUUGACAGCUGAGGCAAUGCAACGUCAGCAAUACAGUUGCAGCUUGGAAGCACAUACCUCGGGUCAAAAGUUUUGAACAUGGAUAAAUAAGAAAUAAGAAAUAAAGUAAAAAUGCAUCAAAUGACUCAACCAAAAGAAAAUGUUUUGAUGAUUUUUAUGGCAGAAGCACAAUGCGAUGUAAGGCAAAGACUUUUUUCCAGGACGAGCUCUCAGACAGACAUUUCCAAAACGGAUUUGGGGAAAGCCUGACUCCUCCCACAUGCAGGCUUUUGGUUUGUCUGGCAAACUGAAACUCAAGGACGAACAGAUAACAGGACACACACACACACACUCACACUCGCUAUGCAUACAGGCUUCCAAGCCUAAUCAAACAUUCAUCCAAUUCAUGGAAACCGUUCGGGAGGAAUUGGCUUGUGAAUCAUCUGUUUUAUACAAUGUUCCUUGUAUUUCCUACUUACCGGAAAUCUUUUCGUACAGAUAACCGAAGCAAUUUCACAGAAAUUAACCUAUUUUGAGGAGGCAGGGUGACAAGUGCCUCAUUUGCAUGAGACGGGACCGCCCCCUCCCCUGCAAGGCCAAUGCCAAGUAUUGUAUUUGUUACCAU